GACGAACGCUGGCGGCGUGCUUAACACAUGCAAGUCGAACGGAAAGGCCCUGAUUUUGUGGGUUGCUCGAGUGGCGCACGCGUGAGUAACACGUGAGUAACCUGCCCUUGUCUUUGGGAUAACUUCAGGAAAAUGGGGCUAAUACCGGAUAGGAGCUACUGCAGCAUGGUGGGGGUUGGAAAGUUUCGGCGGUUGGGGCUGGACUCGCGGCUUAUCAGCUUGAUGGUGGGGUAGUGGCUUACCAAGCCUUUGACGGAUAGCCGGCCUGAGAGGGGGAACGGCGUCCAGGCUACUGAGAGACGGACCAGACGCGAACGUGAGGCAGCAGUGGGGAAUAUUACGGAAUGAGCGCGAGCCUGAGACAGCAACGUCGGGUUCGUGAAGACGUCUUUCGGGUUGAAAACCGCUUUCGCCUGAGACGAAGCGUGAGUGACGGUAAUGGGUAAAGAAGCACCGGCUAACUACGUG
rnacentral:rRNA from 1 species